rnacentral:lncRNA from 1 species
UACAAGAAGCUCAAAACAUAAACUCAGAGUCAUAUUUACUUGGAGUCUCCUUUCCUUUCCCAAGACAUUGGCGACAAAUGACUUCAUUCUUAUUACAUUGAAAUAAAAAAGGAAAAGCCACCAAAAGUUCCCUUGUGAGAAGAAUACACUGACUUUGGAGUUGCCCAAGUGGCUUGCUAUCACAUACAAAGAGGAGAGAAGCCAUGGUAUGUGAGGUCCAAGAAAAUGCCUUCAGCCAUCUUGCACUUCUGCUCUCCACAAUGAGUAGAUUGUGCCUGUGGUAGGCAUUGUUUUUCAUCCUGAAUCCUGGAUACAGAGACUCAUGGAGUAGAUUGGAACCCAGACUGUAAACUGGCGUGAAGAGCAACUCAAUUGGCCAGAUCCAGGUCAGUUACAGGUACUUCAAGGAGGCAGUAUGAUUGCCUUGAUGUAUGUCUUCUGGGGUUUCAGCUUGAGAGAGCAGAGGAAAAAUAAAGGAGGCUAUUCUGGGUGCCAGCUGGACUUGUGCUGCCUGCUUUGGAGCCUGAAGCCCACAUGGCCUGAGAAGCAAGAGAAGCUUUUGGUUGAAGGAAGGGGCUGGAUGGAAGUUUUUAUUAUUACUGUGAAUGGCACUUUUAAUUAUUAAAAUAAAACUGUUGUUGAGAUUGAAGAAAACUGGAGGAGUAUUUAUUAUCCUCAAAUGACUGAGCUCUGAGACCUGUUUGAGAUUUCACACAAAAGUAGAGAAAGAACUGUUGGCAACAUAUUUAAUGGCAGAGUGAUGGGAAAGAAGAGUUCUCUGCUUUGUCACUACCACUUCCAUCUCAUUCAAUAUAAUGAUUGAUGAGGGGAUGGGGAGUUGGAUGAAAAGGGUGAAGGGGAUUAGGUGGGUACAUUAAGAAGUACAAUCUUACAGUUGUAAAAUAAAUAAGACAAAGGGAUGUAAUGUUAAAACAUCGGGAAUAUAGUCAACAAUAUUGUUAACAAUUUUGUAUGGUUACAGAUGGUAACUAGACUUAUUGUGGUGACC